rnacentral:rRNA from 1 species
ACGAAGGGGGCUAGCGUUGUUCGGAAUUACUGGGCGUAAAGCGCGUGUAGGCGGAUCAUUAAGUCGGGGGUGAAAGCCCAGAGCUCAACUCUGGAACUGCCUUCGAUACUGGUGAUCUGGACCCAAGUAGAGGCGAGUGGAAUUACGAGUGUAGAGGUGAAAUUCGUAGAUAUUCGUAGGAACACCAGUGGCGAAGGCGACUCGCUGGACUUGUGGUGACGCUGAGACGCGAAAGCGUGGGGAGCAAACAGGAUUAGAUACCCUGGUAGUCCACGCUGUAAACGAUGAGAGCUAGUUGUCAGUAAGCAUGCUUAUUGGUGACGCAGCUAACGCAUUAAGCUCUCCGCCUGGGGAGUACGGCCGCAAGGUUA